AGCAGUCGCCGCGGUAAUACGUAGGUGGCAAGCGUUGUCCGGAAUUAUUGGGCGCAAAGCGCGCGCAGGCGGAUCAGUCAGUCUGUCUUAAAAGUUCGGGGCUUAACCCCGUGAGGGGAUGGAAACUGCUGAUCUAGAGUAUCGGAGAGGAAAGUGGAAUUCCUAGUGUAGCGGUGAAAUGCGUAGAUAUUAGGAAGAACACCAGUGGCGAAGGCGACUUUCUGGACGAAAACUGACGCUGAGGCGCGAAAGCCAGGGGAGCGAACGGGAUUAGAUACCCGAGUAGUCCCUGUCUCUUAUACA
rnacentral:rRNA from 1 species